GAUUAAGUUAUUAAGGGCGCACGGUGGAUGCCUUGGCACUAGAAGCCGAUGAAGGACGUUACUAACGACGAUAUGCUUUGGGGAGCUGUAAGUAAGCUUUGAUCCAGAGAUUUCCGAAUGGGGAAACCCAGCAUGAGUUAUGUCAUGUUAUCGAUAUGUGAAUACAUAGCAUAUCAGAAGGUACACCCGGAGAACUGAAACAUCUUAGUACCCGGAGGAAGAGAAAGAAAAUUCGAUUCCCUUAGUAGCGGCGAGCGAAACGGGAAGAGCCCAAACCAACAAGCUUGCUUGUUGGGGUUGUAGGACACUCUAUACGGAGUUACAAAGGACGACAUUAGACGAAUCAUCUGGAAAGAUGAAUCAAAGAAGGUAAUAAUCCUGUAGUCGAAAAUGUUGUCUCUCUUGAGUGGAUCCUGAGUACGACGGAGCACGUGAAAUUCCGUCGGAAUCUGGGAGGACCAUCUCCUAAGGCUAAAUACUCUCUAGUGACCGAUAGUGAACCAGUACCGUGAGGGAAAGGUGAAAAGCACCCCGGAAGGGGAGUGAAAUAGAACCUGAAACCGUGUGCUUACAAGUAGUCAGAGCCCGUUAAUGGGUGAUGGCGUGCCUUUUGUAGAAUGAACCGGCGAGUUACGAUUUGAUGCAAGGUUAAGCAGUAAAUGUGGAGCCGUAGCGAAAGCGAGUCUGAAUAGGGCGUUUAGUAUUUGGUCGUAGACCCGAAACCAGGUGAUCUACCCUUGGUCAGGUUGAAGUUCAGGUAACACUGAAUGGAGGACCGAACCGACUUACGUUGAAAAGUGAGCGGAUGAACUGAGGGUAGCGGAGAAAUUCCAAUCGAACCUGGAGAUAGCUGGUUCUCUCCGAAAUAGCUUUAGGGCUAGCCUCAAGUGAUGAUUAUUGGAGGUAGAGCACUGUUUGGACGAGGGGCCCCUCUCGGGUUACCGAAUUCAGACAAACUCCGAAUGCCAAUUAAUUUAACUUGGGAGUCAGAACAUGGGUGAUAAGGUCCGUGUUCGAAAGGGAAACAGCCCAGACCACCAGCUAAGGUCCCAAAAUAUAUGUUAAGUGGAAAAGGAUGUGGCGUUGCCCAGACAACUAGGAUGUUGGCUUAGAAGCAGCCAUCAUUUAAAGAGUGCGUAAUAGCUCACUAGUCGAGUGACACUGCGCCGAAAAUGUACCGGGGCUAAACAUAUUACCGAAGCUGUGGAUUGUCCUUUGGACAAUGGUAGGAGAGCGUUCUAAGG
rnacentral:rRNA from 1 species